GGCCAAGAAGGAAAGGAAUUGCUGAUAUUGUACGAAAUUGAGGUUUGGAAGUGGAGAGCUCAGUUCAGCCGACUAUUUUGCAGUAGAUAGCCAACUGAGCUAUUGCUGAGUGGCUGUUGUUGUGGAUUGUUGAGCAACAAAAUUUAUCUUGGCUCUCCCUCUUUGGUCGCCAUCGGAGCUACUGCUACUGCGCCCUUAGGUUCCCAUUUGGCUUUUGAGUUGCCAAUCGGAUAGAUAUCCAUGCAAUUGAAAACAACAAUUGCAUGUGUAACCUAUUUUCUUGCAAUGAUUAUAAUGCACCUGCUUCUUAUUCUUGUCAUGAGCUUGUCCAACAGUAGAGAGAGCAACUAGUGCAAUCCCCUUCGGUUGUAGAACAUGAAAUCCUACACUGGCUCAUUGCUUCUCACCAC
rnacentral:lncRNA from 1 species